GACAAACACUAAGCAAGCUAUGUUGGCAAUCAAAAUAAUGUGGAGGAGGACCUGGCUAACCUGGGAGGCGUUAAGGAAGAGCACAGGUUGUAAGGGGCCCGUCAACCGCAGCUUGGAAGCCAUGUUUGGACAGAAAGUCAACAAAGGCCAUCAUCUCACAAGAUGAGUCCGAGGAGCAGAUGAAAUCUCACCCGUCCCUCCUCGAGAGCGCAGCGUGCCCGACUGCGAGGACGUGUGCACGCCUCCGAAGACGGUGACCCCCUGCGUGGCGCCUCCGCCGCCAAAGUUAUUGUAAUUGGGGAUGGUGGUGACCCCGAAGUUGGGCGGGUAGUGCUGCGGCGUCGGGUCGGCGCCAUAACGAUAACCCGGGUGGUGGGAGAGAGCGGCGUCGCGUCCCUCGGUGAGUUUUGCUGCGUCUUUAUCCUUACAUUGGACGCAGCCCAUUCUCUGGCUUCUGAGGAGGACACACAAACAAAAUUAGGAAUGAGCAAAAGGACGGGGACGGGGGGGGGGGCAAAGUGAAAGAAUAGCUGCCAACACCAGUGGGGAAAUUAUGAUUCAAUGUUCCAUUAUUUCAGCGGCUUCCUCGGAGGCUCCGAGCCGGUCGUCGGAACAAUCUUUCAAUUAGGUUGAAAUUAAACACCAGACUUUACGCGGCACAACUAAUUACACAGUAGAACAAAAUGUGGUGACACUGAAUUCCUGCAAAUGUCUUGACUCUCUCUCUCACCCUCAUCAUUCUGCUUUUUCACCCAUUUGCAUUUUUGUGGGGUGAAACUCUUUUAUAUUUAUUUGCCCAAGGAUGGCAGACUAUGAUAGAAAAGUCAUAAAAUGUGCUGUGAUAUUCAAUGCAAAGCCGUUUACCGUUCUAAACUGGAAAUUAAUUCACUGAAACAAAAAGCAGUAAUUUAGGCACGAGCGCACAUACGCGCGCAGUGCCGGGAGCCGUAACGAGAUACAAGUCCAUUUAUAGUAAAGCGGCAGGGUCAAUAUCGUAAAUUAAACGGCGAGUCAUGUCAGGGUCACAUAGUGUCG